rnacentral:lncRNA from 1 species
AGACAGUGCUGAUGGCAUGGCCUUUACUCCCUACUAAUUAUGCCUCCCUGAACUGACAGGAAGCUGAGGUGCCCUUCAGUUCAGUUUCAAGUCUUCUGUUGCAGUAGAAGCUUAUCAGGAAAAAGUCAUGGAAAACCUGAUGUACUACAGUGUGAGGAGGAAUCGAACGGACAUUCUCCUCAGCUUCCCUACACUCCUGAGAGCAAGGUCAUCUGGUCAGAGAACAGCAUUAUCUGUUCCUGAGGAUGCUCAUUUCAUUGCUACCCUCUGUGUACUGGGUCUCACUGAUGAAGUGUAUCUGGACAAUCUCAAGGCCAAAUGCCCAGCAUGCCUAGUUCUCCAGAACGAGGAGUGAGCAGAGACAACCCAUUCCAGGAGCUAGUCUCCACGCCCAUGUCUCCAACCCAUCCCAGGCCUGCACAAGCACACUCUCCAGGUGACCUCUGCUGCAGGUUACAUCCACCAUAGCUGUUCCCACUUCCUCACCACUGUGAAGAGGAAGUCUGAUAACAUUUUCUUCAUAUCAAAAGAGAGUCUUUCUCUUCUCAGGAAGGUUUUCUCAAUUCUGACUCUUCCUGUUGCCAUGGUGAUACUUAAGUGAUUCUUUGGACACCCUUAAAUAAACCGC